rnacentral:rRNA from 1 species
CAGCAGCCACGGUAAUACGUAGGGUGCGAGCGUUGUCCGGAAUUACUGGGCGUAAAGAGCUCGUAGGCGGUUUGUCGCGUCGUCUGUGAAAUUCUGCAGCUUAACUGUAGGCGUGCAGGCGAUACGGGCAGACUUGAGUACUACAGGGGAGACUGGAAUUCCUGGUGUAGCGGCGAAAUGCGCAGAUAUCAGGAGGAACACCGGUGGCGAAGGCGGGUCUCUGGGUAGUAACUGACGCUGAGGAGCGAAAGCGUGGGUAGCGAACAGGAUUAGAUACCCGAGUAGUCCCUGUCUCUUAUAC